UUAAGCGACUAAGCGUACACGGUGGAUGCCCUGGCAGUCAGAGGCGAUGAAGGACGUGCUAAUCUGCGAUAAGCGUCGGUAAGGUGAUAUGAACCGUUAUAACCGGCGAUUUCCGAAUGGGGAAACCCAGUGUGAUUCGUCACACUAUCAUUAACUGAAUCCAUAGGUUAAUGAGGCGAACCGGGGGAACUGAAACAUCUAAGUACCCCGAGGAAAAGAAAUCAACCGAGAUUCCCCCAGUAGCGGCGAGCGAACGGGGAGCAGCCCAGAGCCUGAAUCAGUGUGUGUGUUAGUGGAAGCGUCUGGAAAGGCGUGCGAUACAGGGUGACAGCCCCGUACACAAAAAUGCACAUAUUGUGAGCUCGAUGAGUAGGGCGGGACACGUGGUAUCCUGUCUGAAUAUGGGGGGACCAUCCUCCAAGGCUAAAUACUCCUGACUGACCGAUAGUGAACCAGUACCGUGAGGGAAAGGCGAAAAGAACCCCGGCGAGGGGAGUGAAAAAGAACCUGAAACCGUGUACGUACAAGCAGUGGGAGCACGCUUAGGCGUGUGACUGCGUACCUUUUGUAUAAUGGGUCAGCGACUUAUAUUCUGUAGCAAGGUUAACCGAAUAGGGGAGCCGAAGGGAAACCGAGUCUUAACUGGGCGUUAAGUUGCAGGGUAUAGACCCGAAACCCGGUGAUCUAGCCAUGGGCAGGUUGAAGGUUGGGUAACACUAACUGGAGGACCGAACCGACUAAUGUUGAAAAAUUAGCGGAUGACUUGUGGCUGGGGGUGAAAGGCCAAUCAAACCGGGAGAUAGCUGGUUCUCCCCGAAAGCUAUUUAGGUAGCGCCUCGUGAAUUCAUCUCCGGGGGUAGAGCACUGUUUCGGCAAGGGGGUCAUCCCGACUUACCAACCCGAUGCAAACUGCGAAUACCGGAGAAUGUUAUCACGGGAGACACACGGCGGGUGCUAACGUCCGUCGUGAAGAGGGAAACAACCCAGACCGCCAGCUAAGGUCCCAAAGUCAUGGUUAAGUGGGAAACGAUGUGGGAAGGCCCAGACAGCCAGGAUGUUGGCUUAGAAGCAGCCAUCAUUUAAAGAAAGCGUAAUAGCUCACUGGUCGAGUCGGCCUGCGCGGAAGAUGUAACGGGGCUAAACCAUGCACCGAAGCUGCGGCAGCGACGCUGAUGCGUUGUUGGGUAGGGGAGCGUUCUGUAAGCCUGUGAAGGUGUACUGUGAGGUAUGCUGGAGGUAUCAGAAGUGCGAAUGCUGACAUAAGUAACGAUAAAGCGGGUGAAAAGCCCGCUCGCCGGAAGACCAAGGGUUCCUGUCCAACGUUAAUCGGGGCAGGGUGAGUCGACCCCUAAGGCGAGGCCGAAAGGCGUAGUCGAUGGGAAACAGGUUAAUAUUCCUGUACUUGGUGUUACUGCGAAGGGGGGACGGAGAAGGCUAUGUUGGCCGGGCGACGGUUGUCCCGGUUUAAGCGUGUAGGCUGGUUUUCCAGGCAAAUCCGGAAAAUCAAGGCUGAGGCGUGAUGACGAGGCACUACGGUGCUGAAGCAACAAAUGCCCUGCUUCCAGGAAAAGCCUCUAAGCAUCAGGUAACAUCAAAUCGUACCCCAAACCGACACAGGUGGUCAGGUAGAGAAUACCAAGGCGCUUGAGAGAACUCGGGUGAAGGAACUAGGCAAAAUGGUGCCGUAACUUCGGGAGAAGGCACGCUGAUAUGUAGGUGAAGCGACUUGCUCGUGGAGCUGAAAUCAGUCGAAGAUACCAGCUGGCUGCAACUGUUUAUUAAAAACACAGCACUGUGCAAACACGAAAGUGGACGUAUACGGUGUGACGCCUGCCCGGUGCCGGAAGGUUAAUUGAUGGGGUCAGCGCAAGCGAAGCUCUUGAUCGAAGCCCCGGUAAACGGCGGCCGUAACUAUAACGGUCCUAAGGUAGCGAAAUUCCUUGUCGGGUAAGUUCCGACCUGCACGAAUGGCGUAAUGAUGGCCAGGCUGUCUCCACCCGAGACUCAGUGAAAUUGAACUCGCUGUGAAGAUGCAGUGUACCCGCGGCAAGACGGAAAGACCCCGUGAACCUUUACUAUAGCUUGACACUGAACAUUGAGCCUUGAUGUGUAGGAUAGGUGGGAGGCUUUGAAGUGUGGACGCCAGUCUGCAUGGAGCCGACCUUGAAAUACCACCCUUUAAUGUUUGAUGUUCUAACGUUGACCCGUGAUCCGGGUUGCGGACAGUGUCUGGUGGGUAGUUUGACUGGGGCGGUCUCCUCCUAAAGAGUAACGGAGGAGCACGAAGGUUGGCUAAUCCUGGUCGGACAUCAGGAGGUUAGUGCAAUGGCAUAAGCCAGCUUGACUGCGAGCGUGACGGCGCGAGCAGGUGCGAAAGCAGGUCAUAGUGAUCCGGUGGUUCUGAAUGGAAGGGCCAUCGCUCAACGGAUAAAAGGUACUCCGGGGAUAACAGGCUGAUACCGCCCAAGAGUUCAUAUCGACGGCGGUGUUUGGCACCUCGAUGUCGGCUCAUCACAUCCUGGGGCUGAAGUAGGUCCCAAGGGUAUGGCUGUUCGCCAUUUAAAGUGGUACGCGAGCUGGGUUUAGAACGUCGUGAGACAGUUCGGUCCCUAUCUGCCGUGGGCGCUGGAGAACUGAGGGGGGCUGCUCCUAGUACGAGAGGACCGGAGUGGACGCAUCACUGGUGUUCGGGUUGUCAUGCCAAUGGCACUGCCCGGUAGCUAAAUGCGGAAGAGAUAAGUGCUGAAAGCAUCUAAGCACGAAACUUGCCCCGAGAUGAGUUCUCCCUGACUCCUUGAGAGUCCUGAAGGAACGUUGAAGACGACGACGUUGAUAGGCCGGGUGUGUAAGCGCAGCGAUGCGUUGAGCUAACCGGUACUAAUGAACCGUGAGGCUUAACCU
rnacentral:rRNA from 1 species